GACGAACGCUGGCGGCGUGCCUAAUACAUGCAAGUAGAACGCUGAAGAGAGGAGCUUGCUCUUCUUGGAUGAGUUGCGAACGGGUGAGUAACGCGUAGGUAACCUGCCUGGUAGCGGGGGAUAACUAUUGGAAACGAUAGCUAAUACCGCAUGAUAUUGAAUAUCGCAUGAUAAUUAAUUGAAAGAUGCAAUUGCAUCACUACCAGAUGGACCUGCGUUGUAUUAGCUAGUUGGUGAGGUAACGGCUCACCAAGGCGACGAUACAUAGCCGACCUGAGAGGGUGAUCGGCCACACUGGGACUGAGACACGGCCCAGACUCCUACGGGAGGCAGCAGUAGGGAAUCUUCGGCAAUGGGGGGAACCCUGACCGAGCAACGCCGCGUGAGUGAAGAAGGUUUUCGGAUCGUAAAGCUCUGUUGUAAGAGAAGAACGGGUGUGAGAGUGGAAAGUUUCACACUGUGACGGUAUCUACCAGAAAGGACGG
rnacentral:rRNA from 1 species